rnacentral:rRNA from 1 species
CCUACGGGGGGCAGCAGUGAGGAAUAUUGGUCAAUGGACGAGAGUCUGAACCAGCCAAGUAGCGUGAAGGAUGACUGCCCUAUGGGUUGUAAACUUCUUUUAUAUGGGAAUAAAAUGUGCCACGUGUGGGAUUUUGUAUGUACCAUAUUAAUAAGGAUCGGCUAACUCCGUGCCAGCGGCCGCGGUAAUACGGAGGAUCCGAGCGUUAUCCGGCUUUAUUGGGUUUAAAGGGAGCGUAGGUGGAUUGUUAAGUCAGUUGUGAAAGUUUGCGGCUCAACCGUAAAAUUGCAGUUGAAACUGGGAGUCUUGAGUACAGUAGAGGUGGGCGGAAUUCGUGGGGUUGCGGUGAAAUGCUUAGAUAUCACGAAGAACUCCGGUUGCGAAGGCAGCUCAAUGGACUGGAACUGACACUGAGGCUCGAAAGUGUGGGUAUCAAACAGGAUUAGAUACCCCGAGUAGUC